rnacentral:rRNA from 1 species
GAAAGAUGGUUUCGGCUAUCGCUUACAGAUGGGCCCGCGGUGCAUUAGCUAGUUGGUAGGGUAAUGGCCUACCAAGGCAACGAUGCAUAGCCGACCUGAGAGGGUGAUCGGCCACACUGGGACUGAGACACGGCCCAGACUCCUACGGGAGGCAGCAGUAGGGAAUCUUCCGCAAUGGACGAAAGUCUGACGGAGCAACGCCGCGUGUAUGAAGAAGGUUUUCGGAUCGUAAAGUACUGUUGUUAGAGAAGAACAAGGAUAAGAGUAACUGCUUGUCCCUUGACGGUAUCUAACCAGAAAGCCACGGCUAACUACGUGCCAGCAGCCGCGGUAAUACGUAGGUGGCAAGCGUUGUCCGGAUUUAUUGGGC